UACGGAGGGUGCAAGCGUUAUUCGGAAUUAUUGGGCGUAAAGGGCGUGUAGGCGGCCAGAUAAGUCAGAGGUGAAAGCCCGGGGCUCAACCCCGGAAGUGCCUUUGAAACUGUCUGGCUUGAGUGCGGGAGAGGAAAGCGGAAUUCCCAGUGUAGAGGUGAAAUUCGUAGAUAUUGGGAGGAACCCCGGUGGCGAGGGCGGCGUUCUGGACCGACACUGACGCUGAGGCGCGAAAGCGUGGGGAGUAAACAGG
rnacentral:rRNA from 1 species